rnacentral:rRNA from 1 species
UACAGAGGUCCCGAGCGUUGUUCAGAUUCAUUGGGCGUAAAGAGCGUGUAGGCGGCCAGGUAGGUCGGUUGUGAAAACUGGAGGCUCAACCUUCAGACGUCGACCGAAACCAUCUGGCUAGAGUCCGGGAGAGGAGAGUGGAAUUCCUGGUGUAGCGGUGAAAUGCGCAGAUAUCGGGAGGAACACCCGUAGCGAAGGCGGCACUCUGGGCCGGAACUGACGCUGAGGAGCGAAAGCGUGGGGAGCAAACAGG